CAAAGAGUGAACAAACUGACUCAAAAUUAAUCCAUACAGAUCUGUCCCCUUAAUAAGACUAAUUCCGGAGAACAAAGCAGAGCAUAAUGCAUUUUAAAUUAAGUUGGAAAAUGCAUAAUUUAUAUUUGUUUUAUUUCUUCGUAUUUUAACACAGGUGCAUUCCAGAAUGCUAAGAACUACAGGAGAAGGGCAUGCUUCCGACCAUGGUUUUUUACUUUUGAAAACUGAAGGAUCUAAGAUUUGUCCUCUUGUUCAGGAAGUGAGAGCAGAAUCAGACAGAAAAGAUGAACGCAGUGAGAAAGUACAAAUUGGAAGAAGUGAACUCGAGAUCCAACUUGAUCUUCAAAUGGCCAGUGGAUUCCACCAACGCCCUUGCUACAACGCUCCUUCGGUGUUUUGAGAUGUCACCUUUAGAAUCUACUGAAUGCCCGCCUGUAUGUGGAACUGUAAUAGAUUGAAUGGAUACAUUGAAGUUUAGCUUCCUGAACCUGCACAGAUUUCUGAAAAAUCCCUGAUCUUCAGCUUCAUCAUCUAUCAAUCAUCAAUAGCCCAGGCUGAAGUACAGUGACACAAUCUCGGCUCACUGCAAUGUCUGCUUCCCAGGUUCAAGCUAUUCUCCUGCCUCAGCCUCCCAAGGAACUGGGAUUACAGGAGACAGCAACCUUGGCUUUGCUUAUAGCUCUAAGCAGGGCUGUUCCCAGAGGAGGACUGUCCUUCUGAGGAAAGAAGGCACGGAGCUGGUUACAAUCCCAGGGAGGAUGUCUGCACAGAGAGGCGAAAGAGGAGACAUCGUUCACUGGAUGUUGGAGAAGAGAUGAAAAAAAUAAAGGAGAAGGCAGUUUAGCAACGGGAUGGAGACAAAAAAGAAUCCUGUACUCACGAAAUUCAGGGGAUCUUCGUCCUCCUCUCCCCUUCAUAAAGGAGCGAGGCCUGUCUGAUAGGAACAGGAAGAGUUGGACUCUCACUGGCCAGUAUUUUUCUCUCAGGUAGGAUUCAUGUGUUAAAGAAACUGCCCUUAUGUGCUCUCUGUAACCAGCCUCUCUUGAAAAAUAGGUCACAAUUCUCCAUGCAGUAGGCUGGAUAAGCACUCGCAGGUUGUCAGCUUGAGGGGAAUGUAUCAGAAUGCUGACUUUGGCUGCAGAUGCAAGCUAUGUUCUCCCACAGUUUAGUCGAUAUCUUCCUACCUCGCUGGAGCGUGUCUCAAUUGACGCAAAACUUGCAGGCAAGAAAGUUCUGAUUAAGUACUCUCUGUAAACCUCAAGUGUGCCCGAAAACAUGUAGUGGCCGUUGAACUUGAGCACCAUGAUUCCCGAAACACACUAUGGACUGGGCACAGCAGUCAAUAGUUUGGGGCCAGUGGUGUAAUUUGUUCUGUUGAAGGAGUGUGUAGAUA